UAUAAUUGCUACUUAUUUUAUUUAAUUCACAAUUUAAAAAAAUUUAUCAUUAUUUAAAUACUAAAAAUUACACAUAAUAUAUAUAUUGAAAUAAGUUCCCAAGAGGAACAUAUAAUGUGCGAAAAUUAAUAUUGUAACGAAGUCAACAAAAAACAUUCUUCUAAAUCUUUUACAACUAAUUCAUGAAAGUGAAUCUUAGUAAGUUUAUUAUAAUUUCAUAACCUACUUGUCUUAUAAUUUUACUUAGUUUUAGUUUGUGUAUAUAAAGGAUAUUUUAAUAAGUCAUGCCCAAAUAGGCAUAUUCCAUCUUCUGAAAAAAAUAUGCAAAUGACCACUCUAAUUUUAGCACCUAAAGCUCAUUUUAAUGAUGAAACACAUCUUGACCUGAUCCAGUUAAUAGGAUAAAAUUAUUUUAAAUACAUUUAAAACGUUACCAAAUUAAUCAUUUUAUAGAUGAAGCUACUAUUUUAUUUGAUUUACUAAAAUGGCCUAACGGUUUGAUAUGUAUGAUACUAGUGUAAAUAGUUAAUAGCCCUAAAGUUUUCCAUCAAUAAACAAUUUUUUCUUGAUAGCCUUAUGAUUUUAAAAUAUAUAAUGCUCCCUCUAAAUAAAAAAUCUAUGGGCGCUCUUGAUAAUGUCAAACGUAUUUUUAUUAGCCACUUUAUUAGUUUAAGUUUACUCUGCCAAUUUUAUAAAAUAUAUUUUGUUACUUAAACCCGAAAACAUAGUAUAAAUUGAAAAAAAGUUAAAAUUUAAAUGAAGGUUUUAAUUUUUACUUUUUCGAUUAUUUGGUCUUGCUAAAAAAAAUUCUUUUGAACUUGUAUAUGCUCAAAUUGCUAAAAUAUAUAAUCCGAAAAAAAUUACCAUGUUAUGUCAUGAAUGAAAUCUACAUCUAUUAUGUAGGCGAAUAAAUGUUUUCCUUAUCGUUACAUAUUUUUAAAUACAUGCAUAACAAUAAAUAAAGAACUUGUUCGCUUACUUCCUUUUCCAAAAUAUAUACUAUAAUUUCUCGCUAAAACAUGCUAUAUUUUCUAUCUCUCUAUAUUAUUCAAAUGGAUUAGUACAUUACCGAUGUUGCAGAGGGUUGCCUCUAUAUAACUUUAUCAAUAGGUUAUUGCAUAGAAUAUUGUCAUGGAUGCAAAACAUAUGAAUGCAUUAAGCCUCAACGUCCUCUACGAACCCAAUCAUGAUUAGAUUUUAUGAAAUAGUAGGAAACUACAGCUCGAACAUCAAUUCACAGAGCCAGGAAUUUUUUAGGAAUAAAAAUGUCAAUUUUUCCAAAAUAUAUCGUAAUGUUUUUACUGUUAAUCCCUCUACUAUUCUCAAAUGGAUUGCCUAGGGAUUAUGACAAUGGUCAAGUCACUCCAUGCUUUAACAGUUGCAGCGUACUAAAUUGCCCUAAUGAACUUGUGGUAAAUAUAGAUAGUAAAGGGUGCACAACUUGUAGAUGUAUCGAUUAUUUUGAUUGAAUCUAAUUUUAAAAAGAUAUUACUUAUUAUAAUAUGUGUUGUUUGAUUUUGCAAAUUGAUAUCCAAGUCGUCGUCAUUGUAAUAAUUUGGCGAAAAAAAACCACUUCAAUUAUUUGUACUGUUAUAAUAAAAUAAAUAUCGCUUUUAAAAUCAUUUGAAAAAUUAAUGAUCUUAAUAAGUUUUUCAAUUUCAUAUUUUUCUCUUUGUAUAUAUAAAUAGUUGUCAUGUUCGUUAGAUCCCUUUUAAUAUUUUAUCAUUUUUCUAAUAUAUAUAUAAAUAACAUACAAAGAAUUAGCAAGUUUUAUCAAGGUCA